ensembl:snRNA U6 U6 spliceosomal RNA
GUGGUCUGCGUCGGCAGCACAGAUACUAACAUUGGAAUAACACAGACAAGACCAGCACGUCCCCUGCAUGGGAUGCACACAAACUCCUGGACUGUUACGUAUUUUU